CAGUCGAGGCGGUCGGCGAAGGAGAAGAGCUGGUGGAACGGGAGGCUCUGCUCCUGGCGCUUCUUCUCCGGCUCGACGGAGCUCUUGCCGUCGCCGGCGUCGGCCGCCAUUGUUGCAGGACUGAGGUCGGAUCCGGUCACCGGCGAGGACGGAUCGGAUCUAGGGUUGAGGUUAUUUUAUAGUUUGGAGUCCAAGGGGAGGCUGUGG
rnacentral:misc_RNA from 1 species